ensembl:lncRNA
CGGGUGGUGUAGGUGUCCUGGAGGGCAGGUAGUUUGCCCCCGGUGAUGCGUUGUGCAGAUUCGAUGAAUCUGUCCCGUGCCAGUCCCCAGAGUGUUAACAGGUCGAUGAAUCUGUCCCGUGCCAGUCCCCAGAGUGUUAACAGGUCGAUGAAUCUGUCCCGUGCCAGACCCCAGAGUGUUAACAGGUCGAUGAAUCUGUCCCGUGCCAGUCCCCAGAGUGUUAACAGGUCGAUGAAUCUGUCCCGUGCCAGACCCCAGAGUGUUAACAGGUCGAUGAAUCUGUCCCGUGCCAGACCCCAGAGUGUUAACAGGUCCUGCCUGGGUUGAAGCGGUGCAGGCCUCAGUAGACCACUUGACACUUGGCAGCACACGUCAACAAUCCAACCUGCUACUGUUGGAGACACAUGAACUUCCUGUUGUUGUUAUUGUUGCCAUUUCCUGUUUAGACUGUUUUGGUAUGGUCAUAUCCUCUCUCUCUCUGUCUCUCUCUCUCUCUCUCCAGAGGUAUCAGUCUCUCUCUCUCUCUCCAGAGUUAUCAGUCUCUC